UUGGCAAGGGGUUACUAACCUCAGAAGUUUCCAGUUUAAUGAAUGACUUGAUAAUGAUUUUUAAAGAGCUGCAGAGUAACCAGGAUGUCUGACUGUGGAUAUACAUUGGAGCUACAAUGCUAUUUUCCCUGUGUGCAACAAUGACUUACAUACUGGGUGUUUCAUAGCCAUUACCACUAUGCCAUGAUUUCUCAUUUUUCAAAUUGAUCUUAGUGUUUAAAAAAAAACAAAACUAUACUUCUGUAGGAAAACAGGUUUUUUAAAAAGAGCUGUGUUUCAAUUUUUUUUUUUACAAUUUUUAAAACAGCUACAUGUGUCCCUAAAAAUUCCACCCUAUUGAAAAUAAACACGUAUGAAGUGUGUAUUCUAUAGUGAGUCCUAGGAGGAAAACAAGUGUGCCAAAGACAUUUCCUAUACUGUUUCAUGAAGGGGCCACAGUGCUCACUCUUGUCUGUUGAUUUUUAUAUUUAAACUUAGCAGCUGUGACAAGUAGGAAGUGCAUCCCUCCUAAAGCUUCCUGGGGAGUGCUGAACUCACAGGUUCACUCCUUCUAUCCAAAGUGUAGGGGUGGGAGGUUCUGGGAAGUGCUUGGAGCGCAGUCUCAUGGUGUGGAAUCAAUCAAUAGUAACAUGACCAGUGUCACAUGUGAGGCAGUGCAGACACUAAUCUCUGGGGCAAAGGAGGCCUGCAAGCUCAUGACAGACAUUGCAUCGGGUGACUCAGAACAAACUGAGCAAUUUCUUCCUGAGGCUGAUGCAUUAAAACAGAGCACCUCCAUCUUCUCUGAUCUGUGUGCACCAUAUUAAGUGUACAGUGGCCAAAGCCACGUUUAAGUAGUGUCAGGAAUAGCAAAUAAAGACAGCAGGCCUGCAGCAGGCUGCAUGAGGACUUAGAUGGUCAUGAGAACAUUGGGAAUUUAGGCUGGCCGUGGGCGCACCUCUACUUUCCUAAGAAAGUCAAAGUGUUUACUGCUUUAUCACCACGGCCUGCUCUCACCUGUCAUUUAUGAUUUUUCAGAUAUAAAACCUUGGUAAGAUCUUUUCAUACAUUUUUAUAAAGUAGAAGGGAAUACAAGAUUCCCCAGUUGGUACACUUUUUCAGAUCUGUCCGAUAGAAGCACUAGUUUGUGACAUAUCCCUGCUGCGAACUGCGGACUGAGACAUGACACCUGAGGAUCAUGGCUUUCCCUCCAUUAUUGGAGCUCUUGAUAUAAAGUUCAUCUGCUACUGUGGAACCCAAGUUUCUGCAGUUGGUUUCGAGCUACAGGCAGUUUGUAACGCUUGCAUGAGUGAACAGUGUCUCAGUCUUUAAUUUUCAGUGGUACUGUUUAUUUUUCAGAACUCCACAAAGAAUGCUGGCUAUGUCUAUCUUUCCAUCUGUAUUUUGUUGCCUCGAUGUACUAUAUUUGUUGCAUGUAUAUUAAAGAUUUUUUUAACCAU
rnacentral:lncRNA from 1 species